UUUACUUUGAAAAAAUUAGAGUGUUUCAAGCAGGCAAUGGCUCGAAUACAUUAGCAUGGAAUAAUGGAAUAGGACUUUUGUCCAUUUGGUUGGUUAUUGGACAUUAGUAAUGAUUAAUAGGAACAGUCGGGGGCAUUCGUAUUUGACAGCGAGAGGUGAAAUUCUUGGACCUGUCAAAGACGGACUACUGCGAAAGCAUUUGCCAAGGAUGUUUUCAUUGAUCAAGAACGAAAGUUAGGGGAUCGAAGACGAUCAGAUACCGUCCUAGUCUUAACCAUAAACUAUGCCGACUAGGGAUUGGAGGGCCCGUCCAUUAUUUAUUAAAAUAAGGACUCCUUCAGCACCUUAUGAGAAAUCAAAGUCUUUGGGUUCAGGGGGGAGUAUGGUCGCAAGGCUGAAACUUAAAGGAAUUGACGGAAGGGCACCACCAGGAGUGGAGCCUGCGGCUUAAUUUGACUCAACACGGGAAACCUUACCAGGUCCAGACAUAGUAAGGAUUGACAG
rnacentral:rRNA from 1 species